rnacentral:rRNA from 1 species
AACGAACGCUGGCGGCGUGCCUAACACAUGCAAGUCGAGCGCGAAAGGAGCAAUCCGAGUAGAGCGGCGCACGGGUGCGUAACACGUGGAUAAUCUGCCUCAGGGUCGAGGAUAACCUUCCGAAAGGUUGGCUAAUACUCGGUAAGCUUACGGUGACUUCGGUCGCUGUGAGAAAACUAGACCUCUAUUUAUAAGUUUAGGCCCAGAGAUGAGUCCGCGGCCCAUCAGCUAGUUGGCGGGGUAACGGCCCACCAAGGCUACGACGGGUAGCUGGUCUGAGAGGACGAUCAGCCACACUGGAACUGAGACACGGUCCAGACUCCUACGGGAGGCAGCAGUGGGGAAUUUUCCACAAUGGGCGAAAGCCUGAUGGAGCAACGCCGCGUGUGUGAUGAAGGUCUUCGGAUCGUAAAGCACUUUCGACUGGGACGAAAAACCUUUGGCUAACACCCAGGGGCCUGACGGUACCAGGAGAAGAAGCACCGGCUAACUCUGUGCCAGCCGCCGCCGUAACAC